UGUGUACUCCCUCCGUUCCAAAAUACUUGACUUCCAUUUGUCCAAAAAUGGAUGUACCUAUAUACUAAAACAUGUCUAGAUACAUAUAUAUUUUGACAAAUAGAAGGCAUGUAUUGUGCAACGAAGGGAGUAGAAU
rfam:Triticum aestivum genome assembly, contig: Triticum_aestivum_CS42_TGACv1_scaffold_224875_3B